AUGAGUGGUGUUUGAAAUGAUUCAAAGGUGAAAGAGUGAUGAUGCAAAGCAUGGGGGUAAAAUGGAGUGGUGUUGCAGCUAGAGAACAUGAAUGAUUGUGCACAUGGUAGAGAAAGGAAAUGGAGGUGGAAUGAUGCAACAAAGGCGUCAAUGGAGGGAACAUGGAUGAUGAUGCACUGCAUAAGAAUCCAAAGGGAGUGAAAUGGUGGUGCACGACAAUGAUGGAAAGGUGAAUGGUGGAGUGACACCCCUUUGUGGCUGAGAUCUUUGUCCUUUUUACAUUAAUUCUUCUUUCUCUUUAACACAUUCCUAGCCUCUUUAGUCUUCAAUUUCGUCCAUCCACCUUGCUCCAUGCAUGUGCUAUUCAUUCCAAGCCCAAAACUGCUCCAAAAUGCAACUUAUUGCUUCAUAAGGCCUAUGGACCUACAAACACACGAAAAUAGCUUAAAAUACAUAAUUAACUAAGAAAUAACAACAUAAAUGCAUGAGAACAAGCUAACUCAGUCGUAUAAAUAUGCUCCUAUCAAUUACCCGUAUUAAUUUAAAAAUCUGUACUUCUGACUCUUUUCAUUCAAUUCAAGGUCUAAAUGUUUCGUAUUCUUUUUAUUUUUGGUAGAGAUGAUCUUUAUGGGAUGACCAAUGAGAAGUUCAGUUGGAUUUUAGAAACAUAACUCGUAGACCCAUAUAGUGAGACUAUGUUCUCAAUACCUGUGUUAAUUCGAAAAUCUGUAUUUCGGGCAUUUUUCUUUUAAUUAAGAGUCUAAAAGUUUCGUAUUCUUUUUAUUAUUGGAAAAGAUCUUUAAGGGAGGACCAAGGAGAUGUACUGUUGGAUUUUCAAAACAUAACUCGUAGACCCAUAAAGUGGGAUUAUGUUCUUAUUACCCGUGUUAAUUCGAAAAUCUAUAUUUCGCGCAAUUUUCUUUUAAUUCAAGAUUCUAAAAGUUUUGUAUUCUUUUUAUUUUUGGCAGAGAUGAUCUUUAAGGGAUGACCUAUGUGACGUACAGUUGGAUUUUCAAACAUAACUCGUAGACCCAUAAAGUGGGAUGAUGUUCUCAUUACCCGUAUUUAUUCGAAAAUCUGUUUUUUGGGCUCUAUUCUUUCAAUUCAAGAGCCUAAAUGUUUCGUAUUCUUUUCAUGUUCGGCAUAGAUGAUAUUUAUAAGAUGACCGAUGAGAUGUAUAGUUGGAUUUUCGAAACAUAAUUGUAGACCCAUAAAGUGGGAUGAUGUUGACAUUAACCUUGUUCAUUAGGAAAUCUUUAUUUUGUGCUCUUUUCUUUCAAUUCAAGAGCCUAAAAGUUUCGUACUCUUUUUAUUUUUGGCAGAGAUGACCUUUAAGUGAUGACCUAUGAUAUGUACAGUUUGAUUUUCGAAACAUAACUCCUAGACCCAUAAAGUGGGAUAAUGUUCUCAAUACCCGUAUUAAUUCAAAAAUCUGUAUUUCGUGCUCUUUUCUUUCAAUUCAAGAGUCUAUAAGUUUUGUAUUCUUUUCUUUUUUGGCAGAGAUGAUCUUCAAGGGAUGACCUAGGAGAUAUACAGUUGGAAUUUGGAAACAUAACUCGUAGUCCCAAAUGGGAUGAUGUUCUCAUUACUCGUAUUAAUUCGAAAAUCUAUACUUCGGGCUCUUUUCUUUCAAUUCAAGUGCCUAAAUGUUUUGUAUUCUUUUCAUUUUUUGUAGAGAUGAUCUUUGAGGGAUGACAUAUGAGAUGUGCAGUUGAAUUUUCAAAACAUAACUUGUAGACCAAAAAAGUGGGAUCAUGUUCUCAUUAUCCGUAUUAAUUCGAAAAUUUGUAUUUCGGGCUAUUUUCUUUCAAUUCAAGAGCCUAAAUGUUUCGUAUUCUUUUUGUUUUUGGCAAAGAUGAUCUAGAAGGGAUGACCUAUGAGAUGUAUAUUUUUAUUUUCAAAACAUAACUCGUAGACCCAUAAAGUGCGAUGAUGUUCUCAUUACCCGUGUUAAUUAGAAAAUCUUUAUUUUGGGCUCUUUUCUUUCAAAUCAAGAGUCUAAAAGUUUCGUAUUCUUUUUAUUUUUGGUAGCGAUGAUCUUUAAGUGAUGACCUAUGACACGUACAAUUGGAUUUUCGAAACAUAACUCGUAGACCCAUAAAGUGGUAUGAUGUUCUCAUUACCCGUAUUAAUUCGAAAAUCUAUUUUUCAGGCCCUUUUCUUUCAAUUCAAGAGCCUAAAUGUUUCAUAUUCUUUUGAUUUUUCGCAGAGAUAAUAUUUAUAGGAUGACAUAUGAGAUGUACUGUUAGAUUUUUGAAACAAAACUCGUUGACCCAUAAAGUAGGAUUAUGUUCUCAUUACCCGUGUUAAUUAGAAAAUUUGUAUUUUGUGCUCGUUUCUUUCAAUUCCAGAGUCCAAAAGUUUCGAAUUCCUUUUUUUUUUGUUUGGCAGAGAUGAUCUUCAAGGGAUGACCUAUGGAUGUAUAGUUAGAUUUUCGAAACAUAACUCGUAGACACAUAAAGUAGGAUGAUGUUCUCAUUACCCGUAUUAAUUCAAAAAUCUGUAUUUCGGGCUCUUUUCUUUCUAUUCAAGGGUUUAAAAAUUUCUUAUUACUUUUAUUUUAGGCAAAGAUGAUCUUUAAGCAAUGACCUAUGAGUUAUACAGUUGUAUUUUCGAAACAUAACUCGUAGACCCAUAAAGUGCGAUUAUGUUCUCAUUACCCGUGUUAAUUUGAAAAUUUGUUUUUUGUUAUUUUUUCUUGCAAUGCAUAAGCCUAAAUGUUUUGUAUCCUUUCCAAUUUUGGCAGAGAUGAUCUCUAUAGGAUGACCUAUGAGAUGUACAGUUGGAUUCUCGAAACAUGACUCGUAGACCCAUAAAGUGGGAUCAUGUUCUCAUUACUUGUAUUAAUUCGACAAUUUGUAUUUCGUGCUCUUUUCUUUCAAUUCAAGAGCCUAAAAGUUUCGUAUUCUUUGUAUUUUUGGCAGAGAUGAUCUUUAAGGGAUGACCUAUGAGAUAUAUGGUUGAAUUUUUGAAACAUAACUUGUAGACCCAUAAAGUGGGAUGAUGUUCCCAUUACCUGUAUUAAUUUGAAAAUCUGUAUUUUUGGCACUUUUCCUUUCAAUUCAAGAGCCUAAAAGUUUCGUAUUCCUUUUAUUUUCUGCAGAGAUGAUCUUUAAGGGAUGACCUAUGAUAUGUAUUGUUGGAUUUUCAAAACAUAACUUGUUGACGCAUAAAGUGGAAUGAUGAUCUCAUUACCCGUAUUAAUUCAAAAAUCAGUAUUUUGGGCACUUUUUCUUUCAAUUCAAGAGCCUAAAAGUUUCGUAUUCCUUUUAUUUUCAGCAGAGAUGAUCUUUAAGGGAUGACCUAUGAUAUUUAUUGUUGGAUUUUCGAAACAUAAACCGUAGACCCAUAAAGUGGGAUGAUGAUCUCAUUACCCGUAUUAAUUCAAAAAUAUGUAUUUCGAGCUCUUUUCUUUCAAUUCAAGAACCCAAUUGUUUCGCAUUUUUUUUUGGUAGAGAUGAUCUUGAAGGGAUGACCUAUGAGAUGUGAUAGGAGCAUAUUUAGGCGACCUUGUUAUCUUAUUACUUUGCAUUUACUUAGUUAAUUUCCAUUUAUUUUGGUAAUUUAAGUUAUUUUCGUAUUAUUGUUGGUCCAAUUGGUAAAGAUGACAAUAAAUGGCCAAAUGGAGCAAUUGAGAGCAGUUUUCUACUUGGAUUGGAUAGCAUGCGUGGAUAGCAUAUGGGUUGGACGGUUUUGGUGUUUAAAUGGUCCUAGAUAUGUGCUAAAAUCUGGAGAAAUUAAAGUUUAGGCUUGGAAGACAAGGACUUACACAAGAAAGAGGAAUUCUAGUUGGAGAGGAACAUUAUUGUGGAGCCAAAAAUAUUCACAGGGCGACACGUGGAUUUUUGGACAAAAAUGACAAAAAUACCCUUGCAGUACAACGAGGUUCCUACGCGCAAGUAGCGGGCAACCCUCUUUCAACCAAGACAGAAGUGCCCAAAAUAGGUAACAAUUCAAAGUCCAUCUCAUCAAAU
rnacentral:lncRNA from 1 species